GCCAGGUGUGGUGGUGCACACCUGUAGUCCCAGCUACUCAGGAGGCUGAGGCAGAAGAAUCGCUUGAACCCGGGAGGCAGAGGUUGCAGUGAGCCGAGAUCAUGUCACUGCACUCCAGCCUGGGUGACAGAGUGAGACUCUGUCUCAA
ensembl:misc_RNA Metazoa_SRP Metazoan signal recognition particle RNA